rnacentral:lncRNA from 1 species
UUUUUCCAUCCAUGCAAAAAAAUUCCAAAAAAUAUCCAUUAAAUUCUACACAUUCUCAUGAGAAAAAUGCAAAAAAUUGCACUCCAAUUGGAUAAAAAAUGAAUGAGAUAUCAAUUUUUAAAGAUUUGUAACCAAAAAUGAAAAUAAAAAGAAAAAGAAAUAAGAAUAAUUAUUUAUUAAAUGGCGCCAGUGGCAUUUUUGAAAAUGUCUUGAACUUCACCAAAACGGCGCCGUUUUGAGCUUGGAAAC